rnacentral:rRNA from 1 species
GAUGAACGCUAGCGGCAGGCCUAAUACAUGCAAGUCGAACGAUAGUUGGGGCUUGCCCCAACGAAAAGUGGCGCACGGGUGCGUAACGCGUAUGCAACCUACCUUAAUCAGGGGGAUAGCCCGAAGAAAUUCGGAUUAACACCGCAUAAAAUCACAGUAUAGCAUUAUACAAUGAUCAAAUAUUUAUAGGAUUAAGAUGGGCAUGCGUGACAUUAGUUAGUUGGCGAGGUAACGGCUCACCAAGACUACGAUGUCUAGGGGAUCUGAGAGGAUGACCCCCACACUGGUACUGAGACACGGACCGAGACUCCGUACGGGAGGCGAGCAGUAAGGAAUAUUGGUCAAUGGAGGCAACUCUGAACCAGCCAUGCCGCGUGCAGGAAGACAGCCCUC